UCGAGGGGCAGCGGGGGCGAAGCUUGCUUCGCCUGCCGGCGACCGGUGCACGGGUGAGUAACACGUAUGCGACCUGCCCCCCGCAGGGGGAUAACCGGGAGAAAUCCCGACUAAUACCGCGUAACGCCGCUGGGCUGCAUGGCCCGGCGGCCAAAGGAAGCGAUUCCGGCGGGGGAUGGGCAUGCGGCGCAUUAGCUAGUCGGCGGGGUAACGGCCCACCGAGGCGACGAUGCGUAGGGGUUCUGAGAGGAAGGUCCCCCACACUGGUACUGAGACACGGACCAGACUCCUACGGGAGGCAGCAGUGAGGAAUAUUGGUCAAUGGGCGUAAGCCUGAACCAGCCAAGUCGCGUGAGGGAAGACGGUCCUACGGAUUGUAAACCUCUUUUGCCGGGGAGCAACGGGGUCCUUGCGAGGGCCCUAUGAGAGUACCCGGAGAAAAAGCAUCGGCUAACUCCGUGCCAGCAGCCGCGGUAAUACGGAGGAUGCGAGCGUUAUCCGGAUUUAUUGGGUUUAAAGGGUGCGUAGGCGGGCUGUUAAGUCAGCGGUCAAAUGUCGGGGCUCAACCCCGGCCUGCCGUUGAAACUGGCGGCCUCGAGUGGGCGAGAAGUAUGCGGAAUGCGUGGUGUAGCGGUGAAAUGCAUAGAUAUCACGCAGAACUCCGAUUGCGAAGGCAGCAUACCGGCGCCCUACUGACGCUGAGGCACGAAAGCGUGGGUAUCGAAC
rnacentral:rRNA from 1 species